CUGUCAACCUUCAAUACUAGUCCCAAAUGGACUUCCAUCUUUUUGGAUUACUUAUCUACAAUGAACAUAUAUAGCAAUCUAGUAUUAGCAACCAAACAUCAUAAUUCAAUUAUUUGAAUUCACCAAACUAGUGGUUAAGUAGUAAGCCUUAAUUACACCAUAAAGGGUGUCACUUUAACCCUCUUAUACUCCAAUUACAUUCACAUGCCAUGCAUAUUCAUACAACAUCCUCCAAUAUCAAGUUUGGAUUCAUUUAUCCUUCCAACCAAUCCAUUAAACCAAAUUGAGCCAUAGACAUAAAUAAU
rnacentral:lncRNA from 1 species